rnacentral:rRNA from 1 species
AGUGAACGCUGGCGGUAGGCCUAACACAUGCAAGUCGAACGGCAGCACAGGAGAGCUUGCUCUCUGGGUGGCGAGUGGCGGACGGGUGAGGAAUACAUCGGAAUCUACCUUUUCGUGGGGGAUAACGUAGGGAAACUUACGCUAAUACCGCAUACGACCUACGGGUGAAAGUGGGGGACCGCAAGGCCUCACGCGAUUAGAUGAGCCGAUGUCCGAUUAGCUAGUUGGCGGGGUAAUGGCCCACCAAGGCGACGAUCGGUAGCUGGUCUGAGAGGAUGAUCAGCCACACUGGAACUGAGACACGGUCCAGACUCCUACGGGAGGCAGCAGUGGGGAAUAUUGGACAAUGGGCGCAAGCCUGAUCCAGCCAUACCGCGUGGGUGAAGAAGGCCUUCGGGUUGUAAAGCCCUUUUGUUGGGAAAGAAAUCCUGUCGAUUAGUACUCGGUGGGGAUGACGGUACCCAAAGAAUAGGCACCGGCUAACUUCGUGCCAGCAGCCGCAGUAAGAC